GGGCAAAUAGUGUAGUUGGUUAUCGCGCCCGCUUCGCACCGUGGUUCCCGCUUAGGAGGUGAACCCAUUACGUAAUGCGGGAGGUGCUGGGUUCAAUUCCCAGUUUGUCCA